CCCCUAGACGUUCUGGGCUGCACGCGCGCUACAAUAAUACGCACAGCGAGUAUCACCGAGCUCGAAAGGGCAAGGUAAACAAUAGAAAAGGUACUGUAAUGGUUAUAGAUCCUUGUAAUUAUUUAUCUUCAACGAGGAAUUCCUAGUAAGUAUGUGUCAUCAUCACGCACUGAUUACGUCCCUGCCCUUUGUACACACCGCCCGUCGCUCCUACCGAUUGGGUGAGCCGAUGAAACUCUCGGAUGUAGGCUAUUCAUAGCCCGCAGAAGAGAUUUGAAUCGUAGCGCUUAGAGGAAGGAGAAGUCGUAACA
rnacentral:rRNA from 1 species